rnacentral:rRNA from 1 species
UACGGGGGGGGGCAAGCGUUGUUCGGAAUUACUGGGCGUAAAGGGCGCGUAGGCGGCUUUUCAAGUCGGGCGUGAAAUCUCCGGGCUUAACCCGGAAGGGUCGUUCGAUACUGUUGAGCUAGAGUGUGGAAGAGGCAACUAGAAUUCCGUGUGUAGCGGUGAAAUGCGUAGAUAUACGGAGGAAUACCUGAGGCGAAGGCGGGUUGCUGGGCCAACACUGACGCUGAGGCGCGAAAGCCAGGGGAGCAAACGGG